rnacentral:lncRNA from 1 species
AUGAUGGCCCUCUUGGCGGGUUGCUCAACGGCGAAGACGGCGACGAUGGCGAGAGCGAAGAAGAACUACAAAAAAAGAAAAGGCGAUAAUAUUAGCAUGAUAAUAGAAGGAAAUGAAAAAAGAUUCAGGUACAGAAACAAGUUUAAGUGCGCUGGAAAUAAAACACAUUGUAUCGAUAAUAAGCACAGAGACCUUAAGAUAAAUACUAUUCGACAGUAUGCCGAAUUUUAACAGAAGUAUGGUAUGAAUCCACUUGAUUUUUGACUCGGUGAUACUGCCGGGCAACGAUAACCAGAUAUCUGGUAGAAUUAACCAUACUUUUGGAGAAUGCGAUUUGAUUCACGUUUUCUACCAACAUAGAGCCUCUUAUAGAGGUUCCCAUAAUCAUAUCAUUGUUUCUCAUACCAUACUUUUAUUUCUCAGUGUACUUAAAUAUUAAAAAUACGAAACUAAAUUUUGUUAAACUUUGCGAACUGUUGCGGUAAGGAUCAGGGAGAAGAUUAUUUCAACCCGUCAUUAUUAUGAAGCUGUUGUGCGCGCUCGAGUGAAAAAAAAAUAUUCAACAUUUUUUUUUUAACCGGAUAAGUUAAGGGUUUUUGGAUACAGAGAUUGGAAAUCGUUAUGGUAGAUCCUAACACCGAAUCCGUGGGCACUACUCAAUUUAAGUUCAAUUGAAUCUAUGUUGAUCCGAUGACAGAUAUAAUUAUUUUGAGAUAGUUGCAAUUUGAAAGAUAUAGUCAAGAGCUUGAUUGACUUUGAUAUCUUUUUACUCAAUUAAUGUUUGCAAAGUACAUUGAAUAAUAAAAGUAGUGCUUUUGAUUUCAAAUACAAUUCUGUCUGAGCAUUUCUAGAAUAAAUAUUUUUUAGUCACACCAUCAUAAAACUUUGCUUUUUCAAAAUAAAAACACAGACAGCUUAAUUUGACCAUGAUUGAAUUGAAAUUGUAUUUUAAGUUUACAAGGCGAAUGCUGCGGAGUAGCUGCGUUUCGAGAAAAGCCUGAAGUAAAGACUACGCUGAAGCAGUACUUGGAACAAUACACGAAUGAGAUACAUUCACAUAAAUGCUGGUGACGUUUUAGUUUUUAGCUAUUAGUUUUGAUGGUCUCAAAGAAUAUAAAUUCAGAGAACAAUAAAGGGGAGAAAAUUCUAUAAUUUUUCAAAAUUAACGAAUGAAACUUCUUAAAGCGGUCGGUGUAUGUGUCUGAAAAUGCUCAGCAUCAAAUAUUAGAUUCAAAACGCAUAAGGGUACACGAUAAAAAACAUCGUGGUAAAAAGGCGAAUGUAUUUGAAGUAAAAGAGCGGCGUAUUUUCAUGGUGGAAUAAGAUUCACUUUUCUUAAGGAGAUCGAACAUUGAAAGUUGUCAAUAUUCCUGUGAAAAUUUUAUGGGUGAAACUCAAUUACUUGAUUUGAUUAAGUUUGAAAAAUAAUUUGAACGAAACAUUUAGCAAUUUUAUAUAGUAUAGGUGUUAAGUUAGAUGCGAGACAUAUUGUCAUUUUAUGUAAAAAUGAAAGAGUUAAAAACUUACAAGAGCCUUGAGAGACAUGGUGAGAGUUUGGGGGUUGUGGUUGUUUGCU